AUGGAAUCCGCCGCUAGAAGAAGAGGAGGAGGCGUUUUCGAAGGCCUUUACAAGGUCCUCAUGCGCCGCAACUCUGUCUACGUUACCUUCGUCAUCGCCGGCGCUUUCCUCGGAGAACGGGCUGUUGAUUACGGAGUUCACAAGUUAUGGGAAAGGAAUAAUGUUGGGAAAAGGUAUGAAGACAUUUCUGUGCUAGGGCAAAGGCCAGUUGACGACCGAAAUUCAAAGCAGCUGUACAGAGAGUCCUUGCGACUAAUUCUGUUAAUAGUGUUGAAGAAAAGUGGAAAUUGGUAA